GUAGGUGAACCUGCGGAAGGAUCAUUACCGAGUGCGGGCCCUCUGGGUCCAACCUCCCACCCGUGUUUAUCGUACCUUGUUGCUUCGGCGGGCCCGCCGUCAGGCCGCCGGGGGCAUCCGCCCCGGGCCCGCGCCCGCCGAAGACACCCCUGAACGCUGUCUGAAGAUUGCAGUCUGAGCGAUUAUUAAAUUAUUUAAAACUUUCAACAACGGAUCUCUUGGUUCCG
rnacentral:misc_RNA from 1 species